rnacentral:rRNA from 1 species
GUGGAACCGUCUGGAAAGGCGCGCGAUACAGGGUGACAGCCCCGUACACAAAAGCGCAUAUGCUGUGAGCUCGAUGAGUAGGGCGGGACACGUGGUAUCCUGUCUGAAUAUGGGGGGACCAUCCUCCAAGGCUAAAUACUCCUGACUGACCGAUAGUGAACCAGUACCGUGAGGGAAAGGCGAAAAGAACCCCGGCGAGGGGAGUGAAAAAGAACCUGAAACCGUGUACGUACAAGCAGUGGGAGCCCCACCACUAAGCCAGUGGUGAACUCCACAUACGCAUCCUUUGCUGAGGAGACGGUUAACGGAGCGAAAGCGACGUUCAACCUCAAAAGAAGCAGAGGGGGCUUAGUGGUGGGGUGACUGCGUACCUUUUGUAUAAUGGGUCAGCGACUUAUAUUCUGUAGCAAGGUUAACUGUAUAGGGGAGCCGGA